GACGAACGCUGGCGGCGUGCUUAACACAUGCAAGUCGAACGGAAAGGCCCUGCUUUUGUGGGGUGCUCGAGUGGCGAACGGGUGAGUAACACGUGAGUAACCUGCCCUUGACUUUGGGAUAACUUCAGGAAACUGGGGCUAAUACCGGAUAGGAGCUCCUGCUGCAUGGUGGGGGUUGGAAAGUUUCGGCGGUUGGGGAUGGACUCGCGGCUUAUCAGCUUGUUGGUGGGGUAGUGGCUUAACAAGGCUUUGACGGGUAGCCGGCCUGAGAGGGUGACCGGCCACAUUGGGACUGAGAGACGGCCCAGACUGCUACUGUAGGCAGCAGGGGGGAAUAUUGCACAAUGGUCGGAAGCCUGAUGCAGCAACGCCGCGUGCGGGAUGACGGCCUUCGCGGUGUAAACCGCUUUCGCCUGUGACGAAGCGUGAGUGACGGUAAUGGGUAAAGAAGCACCGGCUAACUACGUG
rnacentral:rRNA from 1 species